UACGUAGGGUGCGAGCGUUAAUCGGAAUUACUGGGCGUAAAGCGUGCGCAGGCGGUUUCGUAAGACAGGCGUGAAAUCCCCGGGCUUAAACUGGGAACUGCGCUUGUGACUGCGAGGCUAGAGUGUGUCAGAGGGAGGUGGAAUUCCACGUGUAGCAGUGAAAUGCGUAGAGAUGUGGAGGAACACCGAUGGCGAAGGCAGCCUCCUGGGAUAACACUGACGCUCAUGCUCGAAAGCGUGGGGAGCAAACAGG
rnacentral:rRNA from 1 species